GAUGAACGCUGGCGGCGUGCCUAAUACAUGCAAGUCGAGCGAACGGACGAGAAGCUUGCUUCUCUGAUGUUAGCGGCGGACGGGUGAGUAACACGUGGAUAACCUACCUAUAAGACUGGGAUAACUUCGGGAAACCGGAGCUAAUACCGGAUAAUAUUUUGAACCGCAUGGUUCAAAAGUGAAAGACGGUCUUGCUGUCACUUAUAGAUGGAUCCGCGCUGCAUUAGCUAGUUGGUAAGGUAACGGCUUACCAAGGCAACGAUGCAUAGCCGACCUGAGAGGGUGAUCGGCCACACUGGAACUGAGACACGGUCCAGACUCCUACGGGAGGCAACAGUAGGGAAUCUUCCGCAAUGGGCGAAAGCCUGACGGAGCAACGCCGCGUGAGUGAUGAAGGUCUUCGGAUCGUAAAACUCUGUUAUUAGGGAAGAACAUAUGUGUAAGUAACUGUGCACAUCUUGACGGUACCUAAUCAGAAAGCCACGGCUAACUACGUGCCAGCAGCCGCGGUAAUACGUAGGUGGCAAGCGUUAUCCGGAAUUAUUGGGCGUAAAGCGCGCGUAGGCGGUUUUUUAAGUCUGAUGUGAAAGCCCACGGCUCAACCGUGGAGGGUCAUUGGAAACUGGAAAACUUGAGUGCAGAAGAGGAAAGUGGAAUUCCAUGUGUAGCGGUGAAAUGCGCAGAGAUAUGGAGGAACACCAGUGGCGAAGGCGACUUUCUGGUCUGUAACUGACGCUGAUGUGCGAAAGCGUGGGGAUCAAACAGGAUUAGAUACCCUGGUAGUCCACGCCGUAAACGAUGAGUGCUAAGUGUUAGGGGGUUUCCGCCCCUUAGUGCUGCAGCUAACGCAUUAAGCACUCCGCCUGGGGAGUACGACCGCAAGGUUGAAACUCAAAGGAAUUGACGGGGACCCGCACAAGCGGUGGAGCAUGUGGUUUAAUUCGAAGCAACGCGAAGAACCUUACCAAAUCUUGACAUCCUUUGACAACUCUAGAGAUAGAGCCUUCCCCUUCGGGGGACAAAGUGACAGGUGGUGCAUGGUUGUCGUCAGCUCGUGUCGUGAGAUGUUGGGUUAAGUCCCGCAACGAGCGCAACCCUUAAGCUUAGUUGCCAUCAUUAAGUUGGGCACUCUAAGUUGACUGCCGGUGACAAACCGGAGGAAGGUGGGGAUGACGUCAAAUCAUCAUGCCCCUUAUGAUUUGGGCUACACACGUGCUACAAUGGACAAUACAAAGGGCAGCGAAACCGCGAGGUCAAGCAAAUCCCAUAAAGUUGUUCUCAGUUCGGAUUGUAGUCUGCAACUCGACUACAUGAAGCUGGAAUCGCUAGUAAUCGUAGAUCAGCAUGCUACGGUGAAUACGUUCCCGGGUCU
rnacentral:rRNA from 1 species